UUUUGAGGAAAGAUCUGAACAAGCCUGAUCCUCGGAAGCUAAGCAGGGUCAGGCCUGGUUAGUACUUGGAUGGGAGACCAAUUAGAAAGACCAGGUUCUAUAGGCA
rnacentral:rRNA from 1 species